rnacentral:lncRNA from 1 species
AAGGAUGUGUUUGCUUCACCUUCCACCACAAUUUUCUCAUCGCUAUGAGCUUGGAAUAAAAUAAAAAGAAGAGAUGGUUGAAAUAUGAGUCUAUGGAUUGAUUUCUGUGUCCCCUUUCUAAAGCAAGCCAGAAAGUGUUCAUAUUAAGACCAUCGGCUAUGGAUGUUACUAUUCAGUGACUGAAGCCCCAAACUAUCACCCUGACCCUGCUCAGUGGGCUUGACAAUGGGACACAGAGUACACACCAAAGGCAGGGAAGCCAAGACACGUGGCCGGCUCAUGUGGUGAGUGGGCUCCCUGCACUGGCUUCUCCAACUUGGAGUCAUGCUCAGGACAUCAUAAGGGAAACCAGUAGUCCCUUGCACCUGCUGUGAAGGUUUUGUUGACUUCUUUCUCCAGCCUGUCAGUUUGGCUCUGAGCUUGGUGAAUUAUGACUCAGCGAUGGUUGGUUCCCUGUGUGGGAAGCAGGCGAUGCUUUGGUUUGCUAACAGGUGCUUCUUCCUGAAGCAGUUGCCUCCUGCAGCUUCUGAGCCUCUUCUGCCAUGUCAUUCAGUGCAGUGGGAGUGAGGAGGCAGUAAACACGUCUAUACACUACCAGAGAAAACCAGUACCUAGAGACUCUGCCACUCAUGUCUACUAAGUUCUCUACUGCAGCUUGUUGGUCAAUCUUCAUGAACAUUUUCAGUAAAGCACUCUGGAUGCUUUUAUAGGAAAGAGCCCUGCAGGCCAUUAUCCAACCAUUAUUAUCGCCAUUACCGUCACCAUCAUCAACAUUGUCAUCAGCAUCAUCUUCACUGUAGAAAUCAAACAUUCAUUAAGUAGUUAAUUCUGGAUGAUUUUCUGUUUGAUGCUGAAUCAAAAAUUAAACAGUCUAGGUUCUUUCUGUCAAGGAUUAUGACUGAAGACAGACACACUUAUAUGGACAUACAUUUAUAGGUAUUACAGAAACAGAAAACCAACCUGAUAUCAGCUAGUGUGAGUAGCUGAUUUAAAAGUGGAUUCAUGAUUGGAGUAUCAGGAAGAAAACCUUUAGAAAUCCCAAGGAAAAGCAUAUAACUUGCCUCUCUCUAGUUAGUAUUUCAGGGAUACAGGACAGUAGUAGGAUCUAUCUUUGCUGAGUCUUGAUGAUUAAGAAGAGUAUUGCGGGGUGUAGAACUGGAGUUUCUAUGUGUCCAGCUUUAGAGGGAGGAUGAAUGAGCUGAUGAUUGAGUUUUGGUCAGCUAUACUUGAGAUGGGUAGAAGGAGUACUACCAUGGAAAGAAUCCAGGUUAAAGAGUCAGGCCAGGGUCUGAAUAACAGCCCCAUUACCAGCUGUGAGAUCUGAGGCAAAUCAUGCAAUCAGAAUUUUUUUCACUUCUUUUUAUUCAUCUGUAAAAUAGGAAUAGUAACAUCUUGCCUGAUGUGUUGAAGUUCCCUAGCAUGUACCACAAGGAGUAAUUAUUAUCUUGGUACAUAAGAAGGGAGAAGACAAAUAACAACAUCUGAAGGAACCACAUCAAAAACUUCGGUGGCUUGGCAAUGAGAUAUUAUCUCACACUACUCAGAGUGCCUAUUAAUCAGAAGUCAAAAAAUAACAGAUGUAAUUCAGGCUUCGAAG